CCGUUUUACUCUGGCAGCGGGCAGCUGCACAAGCAGCCAGACAGGCGUUAAAGCAGGCGGGAAGAGAGUCGUCGUGAAAGACCCAGAGUACGCUGGGACAGUAACACUAGCAGGCAGGUGGUUAUGAAGCAGACGAGGAGGGGGAAGAGUCGAGGCCACAGGAGUAACUUUACGCUGGUCUACGUGGAGUUUAAUAGGAUUGCUGGUAAGAUCUUGAAAAGGGAAUUUUACGAGACCCUUGACCAACAUGAUGAUGAACCUCUUGAUGAACCUUCUGAAGCAACAAAGCUAUCAGAGCCAACUGAAAAACUGAACUUUGGUGCUUCAAGGACUACCCCUUUGGUUUGGAGAUGACUCUCCUGCUUUCUUUAAGAUGUGUUUGAUGUCCGAUGAUCACAGCUCAAUUCUUGAUCUGCCAGUGGGGAUUGUGAUAGUUGAAGAUGGGACAAGAUGGGUCUCCCUCUUCGAUUGGAAUCGCAAUCGAGGGAAAAUUAGUGAUGGACAAUCUACAUGACCUUCCUGAAAAAGCAAUGUGCCUUCUGUUCGAACCAAUAUAUGCAUUGCACCUGAGUUACCCAAAGUCACUGGGAUACAUGUUUGACUUUAUUCAGCGGAUUCUACUUUCCUUGGGGCAGAAAGACCUGCAGCCUAAAACACAGUCGUUGGCAAACCAGCUGUUAGGCUAAAAUCGAGAAAUUGCUAGCCGCACUUUUAAUUGCAACACAUUUAUAUUACACAUGGUCUUUUGAAAAUGAGACUUAAAAAUAUGAGCUUAAUGUUUUGUUUUUAUUGUGAGUGUAAUGUUUUGUAAAAAUGUAAGCUUACUGUUAAACAUGAGCUCAAUAUUUUAAUGUGAUUUAAAAAUGCAGCUUGCUGUUAAAAAUAUGAGCUACUGUUUUCUAAAAAUGUGAGCUUAAGUGUUAAGUGCUGUUCAAGUGUCUUAAUGUGACUUAAAAAUGUGAGCUUGAUAAUGUUUCUUAAAUUAAUGUAAAUGUAUAAACCAAAUAAAGCUAUUAAUGGAAAAACAA